GAUGAAGAACGUAGCGAAAUGCGAUACGUAAUGUGAAUUGCAGAAUUCAGUGAAUCAUCGAGUCUUUGGACGCACAUUGCGCCCCCUGGUAUUCCGGGGGGCAUGCCUGUCCGAGCGUCAUUGCUGCCCUCAAGCACGGCUUGUGUGUUGGGCCUCCGUCCUCCUCCCGGGGGACGGGCCCGAAAGGCAGCGGCGGCACCGCGUCCGGUCCUCGAGCGUAUGGGGCUUCGUCACCCGCUCUUGUAGGCCCGGCCGGCGCUUGCCGACACAUCAAUCUUUUUUCCAGGUUGACCUCGGAUCAGGUAGGGAUACCCGCUGAACUUAAGCAUAUCAAUAAGCGGAGGA
rnacentral:misc_RNA from 1 species